UUAUUAUUAAACAUUGCUUAAUAAAGUAAAGCAUGAACUAUUGAUUUCUGUUCAUUGAAUACCUUUACCAUUUAGUGGAUUACAUGGAAUGUUUGUAUAUAGGGGUUUACUGUAAAAUAAGGUAACCCAAACCAAAAAAUAUGGUAGCCCAUAUAUAUACCCGUUGUGACCCAUAAAAGCCCUAGAUAAGUACGAUCUGGGCCCCAUCAUUAACCCAUGUGGGUCCUAAAUGGGAACUACCUGGGCUACCCAUAUGGGCUUGAUAUGGAGCCCAUCAAGAGCCCAUCAUCAACCCAUCUGGGCUAACCCAUGUGGGGCCACCAUGGAAACUGAGGACAAAACUAGCUGGGUCCCAGUUGGGUUGCCCAGGUGGGCCCCAGAUAUCAGCCCAGGUGCAACCCCUUUGGGCCCCACAUGGGUGUGAGUAGACGCGCAAUGAACUUGAAGCGCAGAUGGCGUGACCGCGCUACUCUGAAACGCAGAUGGCGUGACUGCAGUUGAAGGAAAGCAACAGCAUGCUGCUCAAUGAUUCUUUUAAUCUUGUUUGUCACAUUUUCAUAUUGGUUGGAAGCCAAAUCGAAACCGAAACUAAAAUCUGAUUCGUACAGCUCCGCUGCUUACUCACGAUGAAUUUGAGUAGAUUUCCCCGCGAGCUCUUCAGGAGAACACAAGACAAGUCUUUCAGCGUUUUUCUUUCGAUUUAGAUUUAAAGGUGUUAUUGUUAAAAUGGCGACAGUAGCAGCAGGUAGACGUAGUCCAUUAUUUGAUCGUCCUGACAUGAGUGAUCUGAGGAUUGUGCUGAUAGGAAGAAUGGAUCAGAAAACAGGCGAGUGGCAAAACACUAUACUGGGAAGAGCGGGUGUUUGACGUGAAGCUCCAUCU